CCCAUGAUAAACUUGGCAAUAAGAAAAAGAGUUGAGCACAUGCGGAAUUGAGUCAGCAUGCACGUGGGGGAAUUGCCUUGGAGAGUUCAAAAACGAAAAUGAAAUGCACCGUGUUCAGAAACUCAUUCUAACAACCUCAUGCCACCCUCCACUAGGGUCCAUCGCGCCUGAAAUCGCUUAUGGUGGAGGUGACAACCAAAAUGAGGAACACACACAUCAUUCGGAUCCUCUCCUUCUCCUAAUUCCAAAUAUCUACUCCAAUUUUCCUGCCCUUUCCUCAAAGCCACGAAUCGAAGUUAAUUUCGACAAGAACCCUAAACUUAGGAAAUCAAAAUUAAAUUCUCAAGACUCGGAACCAAAGCCUUAGAGGUUAGGGCUUUAAUUCCCAUUGCCUCACUUUACAUUAUGGUACCAAUGAUGCCUCAAACGGUUGCAAAAAUUAGACUCACCUGUCGAAGAAGAAGGUCAAGAUCGGAGCAACGCCGAUGCUGAAUAAUUCCAGGUUGAUGCAGGUCUUAAAUUGGCUUUGUAGUAUGUUGUUGCAAAUGCCAGGUUUGGGAGUAGAUUACUCAUGCCAUGGUACAUUCAAAGCCAAGAUAAUUCUGCAUAGUUCUUGUCAAGUUAGCUAGGCCUUGCUUGGCAAUGUUUGGAUGACUUGUGGAUUGAAUUGUCUAGGGUGUAAGCUCCUAGUUUGCAGCAUAAAGUCACAUUCUAACUUGGAAGAUUCAAAGGCAUGAUGCAUUGCUUUGUCACAUGUGUCAGGAAAUGUUUGAGAAAUGUAGUGUAUAGUUGGCCUGUAUGCUUGGGUUGAUGGUUGCAGGUCAUUGGGAUGUAACUGGUUUUGCACUUGGCAUUGGUUGGACAUGGCCUAAGACAUGAUGGUAGCAAGUUGGAAUUUUGGAGCAAAAAUGCAUAAAAGGCAAGCCAAAAGGUCAAAAGGGGAUUUAUAGAUUAGGAUUAGGAUUAGUAUGGGAUUUUAGGGUUUUAAGACUUUUUUUUGGAUUGGGUUGGCUUUGGUCAAAGUUCACCAAAAAGUCAAUUGUUGACCAAAGUCAACAUUUGGUCAAAAUUGUCAUUUCUUGUAUUUUCUCAUGUAAUGGACACUUUUAUGGUUUAUGAAUGGAAAUUUAUGCUUUUUUGAAAA